rnacentral:rRNA from 1 species
AGGGUUCGAUCCUGGCUCAGAACGAACGCUGGCGGCGUGGAUUAGGCAUGCAAGUCGAACGGUAAGGCUCCCUUCGGGGAGUACACAAGUGGCGAAAGGGUGAGUAAUAUAUAGGUAACCUACCCUCAUGCCGGGGAUAGCGUCUGGAAACGGACGGUAAUACCGCAUGUGGUCGAGAUGGCUCCGGGUAUCCAGUCGGUGCUGACUCGUCUAAAGGAGGCUUCGGCUUCCGCUUGAGGAGGGGCCUAUGUCCUAUUAGCUUGUUGGUGAGGUAAUGGCUUACCAAGGCUGUGAUGGGUAGCGGGCCUGAGAGGGUGGCCCGUCACACCGGAACUGAGACACUGUCCGGACACCUACGGGUGGCUGCAGUCGAGAAUCAUUGGCAAUGGACGAAAGUCUGACCAUGCGACGCCGCGUGAGCGAUGAAGGCCCUCGGGUUGUAAAGCUCAAUCCACAGGGGAAUAAAAGCAGGGGGUUAAUACCCCACCUGUCUGAAGGUACCCUGAGGGAAGCCCUGGCUAACUCCGUGCCAGCAGCCGCGGUAAUACGGAGAGGGCAAGCGUUGUUCGGAAUCACUGGGCAUAAAGGGCACGUAGGCGGUUCGGUAAGUCGGUUUGUGAAAGCCCCCGGCUCAACCGGGGAAGUGCAUCCGAAACUGCCGGGCUUGAGGCCGAAAGAGGAGUGUGGAACUCUGAGUGGAGCGGUGAAAUGCGUAGAUAUUCAGUGGAACGCCGGUGGCGAAAGCGACACUCUGGUUCGGAUCUGACGCUGAGGUGCGAAAGCCAGGGGAGCGAACGGGAUUAGAUACCCCGGUAGUCCUGGCCGUAAACGAUGAGCACUGAGUAGAGGGGCCUUCCACGGUUUCUCUGCUGUAGCUAAUGCGUUAAGUGCUCCGCCUGGGGAGUAUGGCCGCAAGGUUAAAACUCAAAGGAAUUGACGGGGGCUCACACAAGCGGUGGGGUACGUGGUUUAAUUCGAAACAACGCGCAGAACCUUACCCGGGUUUGACAUCGUGAGGAACGCCUCCGAAAGGAGGAAGUGCCCUUUGGGAACCUCGUGACAGGUGUUGCAUGGCUGUCGUCAGCUCGUGUCGUGAGAUGUACGGUUAAGUCCGGUAACGAGCGAAACCCCUAUCCUUAGUUGCCAGCGGGUAAUGCCGGGGACUCUAGGGAGACUGCCGCGUAAGCAGGAGGAAGGUGGGGGUGACGUCAAGUCCUCAUGGCCCUUAUGCCCGGGGCUACACACGUGCUACAAUGGCGGGGACAGAGGGAAGCGAAGCCGCGAGGUGGAGCAAAUCCCACAAACCCCGUCCCAGUCCGGAUUGUAGGCUGCAAUUCGCCUGCAUGAAGUCGGAAUCGCUAGUAAUCGCGGGUCAGCUACACCGCGGUGAAUAUGUUCCUGAGCCUUGUACACACCGCCCGUCAAGCCACGGAAGCCGGUAAUACCCGAAGUUGCUGACCCAACCCUUUGAGGGAGGGAAGUACCUACGGUGGGACCGGUGACUGGGACUAAGUCGUAACAAGGUA